rnacentral:rRNA from 1 species
UACGGGGGGGGCAAGCGUUGUUCGGAAUUACUGGGCGUAAAGGGCUCGUAGGUGGCCAACUAAGUCAGACGUGAAAUCCCCAGGCUCAACUUGGGAACUGCGUCUGAUACUGGAUGGCUUGAAUUCGGGAGAGGGAUGCAGAAUUCCAGGUGUAGCGGUGAAAUGCGUAGAGAUCUGGAGGAACACCGAUGGCGAAGGCAGCCUUCUGGGCCAACACUGACGCUCAUGCACGAAAGCGUGGGGAGCAAACAGG